rnacentral:rRNA from 1 species
UACGUAGGGUCCAAGCGUUGUCCGGAUUUAUUGGGCGUAAAGAGCUCGUAGGCGGCUCAGUAAGUCGGAUGUGAAAACUCGGGGCUCAACCCCGAGACGCCAUCCGAUACUGCUGUGGCUUGAGUCUGGUAGGGGAACACGGAAUUCCUGGUGUAGCGGUGAAAUGCGCAGAUAUCAGGAGGAACACCAAUGGCGAAGGCAGCUCGCUGGGACGUAACUGACGCUGAGACGCGAAAGCGUGGGGAGCAAACAGG